AACCCAAGUCUACCAGCCUAG
rnacentral:misc_RNA from 1 species